UACGUAGGGGGCAAGCGUUGUCCGGAUUGACUGGGCGUAAAGCGCGCGCAGGCGGAUGCGCGCGUGGGGUGUGAAAUCUGGCCGCUUAACGGCCAGGCGCCAUCCCAUACGGCGCGUCUGGAGUGAUGCAGAGGUAGGUGGAAUUGCCGGUGUAGUGGUGAAAUGCGUAGAGAUCGGCAGGAACACCCAGGGGGAAACCAGCCGACUGGGCAUCUACUGACGCUGAGGUGCGAGAGCGUGGGGAGCGAACCGG
rnacentral:rRNA from 1 species